CAGAAGGAAGGCAUUGUAACUUUUGCAGGGCGGGGGGGAUCCCCAUACUCUUGGUCUGACUUUGAGACAUCCUCAGAGUUGUGCAUCGUGUAUUUGUGCUUUGAACGACGUGGUUCGGGCUCAACUGUAUUGCUCCCAAAUUCAUAUGUGGAAAUCCUAACCCUUGGCACCUCAGCAUGUGACUGUAUUCGGAGAUAGGGUCUUUAAUGAGGUCAUUAAAAUGAGGUCAUUGGGGCGGGCCCCAAGAGCAUGAUAGGUGUCCUUGUAAGAGAGAGAUCGGGACACAUACACAGAGGGAGAAGGUGGCCUUCUACAAGCCCAGGAGAGAUGUGUCAGAAGGAAUCAAGCCUACCAACAUGUGGAUCUUAGACUUCCGGCCUCCAGAGCUGCAAGGGAAUAAAUUGCUGUUGGUUAAGCCCCCCAGUCUGUGGUAUGUCGUUACGGCAGCUGGUGCAAAGCAAUAGACACAGAGAUGAUUUAAUAGCCAUCUGAUUAGAGACACCUCGGGAAAUUUCAGAUCACCCACUCAGAGAACUGGAGCUGAUCGAGGGGACCGUCUUCCGAGUCUUCUGAGUCCCUCCUCCUCGGGAGGACUUCUCCUUUGUGCUCUUGUAUUUAAUCGUCCUAUUAACCCUGUGAAUUUGGGAUUACAAAUUCCAAUUUAUUGACGAGGAAACCGAAGCCUGGAGGCUUAUGUGACUUGACCCAAGCCACCCUGCUAAUUUCAGCAGAACCAGGAGUUCUAGAGGUUGAGUUGCGUAAAUGCUCUGCUUGGGACCAGCCCGGCCAACGUAACUUGAGGCUUGCCACCAGCUGCCAAGGUGACCUGCUGGAAGAGCAAUUUGGAAAAAAUAAAGAAGGUGAGGCACAAGGAAGAAUUUCAAAGCCUUUCCCUAAUCAGGACGAAUGGCUGUGAGCCUGAGGUGUGUGCAGAUAGCUUGCCACAUCUCAGAACGCAGCUCUUGCCACAAGCCAAUGCCUCGCUGGCUCUGAAAUUUAUGCUGGAAUUUAGACAGAGAACACAAAUCAUCGUAAUCUCCCGAUGAAAGAUCACUGUCUCUGCAAAUGCAUUACCUGCUUGGAAAGCGACAUGUUAAAAAAUACUGAUAAUAUAUGGGCACAGGGAGAGCGAUUUCCAUGCCUGGGCUCCUCCAGCUAAAAUACGCACACCUGCACAAGAGGCGGCAGAUGACAAAGUAAGUCACCGGGGCCCAGGAGCAGCUUCUGUGUUGAGCUGUGGCUCUGACACUCCAAACAAAAGACCCUGCAAGCCUAUGGAGCAGUCUCCCCCCACCACCUCCAACAUGGGGCGCCUCGGAUGCCGGAGGCCCGAGUGGGGGGCGUGUGAUUCCAUCCUUCCCACCCCCAGUCAGGAUGCCCUUGGUCUUUUCUGCAGGAGGGAGAGGUGGGAGGAGGAACUGGAGCAACUGAUGGGCCUCAGAGCUGGAGGAAGCUUCCAGAAUGAGUUAGAGGGACCACCCCGUUCACUUCCCUCCCUCUCUCACCCCUCCCAAGUGCUCGGUAAGCAGCCCUGUGGGGGCCUCCUUCGCGUGGAGAUAAGAUACAAAGACAGCCCUUAGCUGUGGGGGCACAGGCCUGUGACUGCUGGAAGGGCUGCCCUCCUGUCUCCCCACCUCUCCCUUUCCUCAGGCAGCUCCAAGACAUAACAGCUCGGGGGAGAGCGUGGGCUUGGAGUCAGACAGACCGGCUUUCUGUGGCCGUGACUCCAACUUCCCGACUAAUUGGCAGCGUGACCUUGGGCAUGUCCCCUCCCUCGCUCGCUAAGCCUCAGCUUCUUCCGGGCACCACCCGCCUCCCUCUCCCAGCGCCCAGCCACUUGGCUUGUGGCUCAAGGUUACAGCUUGGUCUUUGCGACGCGGGCGCCCUGUCUUCCUCCGCAGUGUGCUGUGAGUGCCAAGGCCGGCUUUCCUCCAUGCCUCUGCUCAGGGAGAAGCAAUUCGGAGUCUAAUGGGCUUGCGGAACAGAAAUGAAAAAGAGCCUAAGGAGUACCGUCUGCGGAGAGGCCAGCUUGGAAGAACCUGUUUGCAGCAAAGGCGGAUGGCGGUCAGAAGACGGCCUCGUGGGGUCUCUGCCAGGCCUGUUUGGAGGACCGGGCGGCUGAGGGACUGGAGUGCAGGGCUGCCGGAUCCGUGUCUGCCGGAUCGGUCUGGCCUCUCCAAGCGCGGUUCGGCCUCGCGAAGCUGUGCAACAGGUGCGUGGGGCACCUGCCCCUCCCCCUUCCCAGAGCCCACUUCCCGUUCACCAUCGUUCUCCAGAAUGGUUUCUGGCUCCAUAAAACCAAAGGCAUUUGGCGCAUAAAACCAAACACCUUUUGUGUGAUGGCCUUCUCGUCAUGAGUUAAUAAGAUACAGAAUGAAUGAGCACGGCCUCUGCGCUCCUGGUUUCCCUAUAUAGUCGUGACGGGGUGGGAGAGUGGUCGUCCCGCCCCUCUGGGUUAUCUUCAGUGUCUUUCAGGUCUGGUCCCAUUUCAUCUGACUUUCUCCUCCCGUGGAAUGAUAAGCUCUUCAAACAGACAUUCCUUCCUUGUGCCCGUAAGACAAGGGAAUGGUAAACACAAGAUUCAGGAUGAUGGCUGGUAACCAUGAUGAUGAGAUGUGAGGUCACCAGAUGGUUUGCUGUAGAUUGUUUGCUUUUGUUUUGGUCAGUGGGAUUAUGAGUGCUCAUGACAUUGCAAAAAAAAUUACUUAUCAACCUAAAGAAAUAAAUAAGUAAAUAAGCCAUCCUAUAUCUGAGCAAUGAUGACAAUGAGUCAUUAAGUGAAGAUUAUGAUUGAUACAAUUCUGCUUCUCUGAGAUUAGAAAACAAAAGUCAUGUACUUGGGGGAGGGGAUGAGAAAAAGCCACAUGCCUGAGAGAGGAGUGUGUGAGGUAAGGGAUGGGGCUCAGGUGAGAGGUAGGGGAGAGAGCUAUGUAGGAUCUCAUAGGGCCUGUUAAUGACUUGGAUUUAAUGGGGUAGUAUGAUGACAUGGUCUUUAUAUUUCAAAGGUCUCAUUCUGGCUGCAUCAUGGGUAUUUUAUUAGUGGUGGUCAGAGAGAAUAUGGGGAAGGCUGGUUGGGAGGCUGUAUCUACUGUAGGUAAGAGGUGAUGGUAGCAUGGAUUAAGGUGAGAUAAUGAGAGAAGCAGGUGAACUUAAAUAACAGUAAGUAAAAACUGAUAAUUUUAGAUAGAAUAUGGGGCAUGAGAGUCAAUGAUGAUGCCUCCAUUUUAUUUGUGAAGGAGGUGGAUGGUGGGCUAUUUACUGAGAAGAAAGUGAGUUUAGUUUUGACUAUGUUGGAUUUGGAUGCUUUUGAGAUAUGCCAGUGGGCAGCUGGAUAUUGGGCUCCAUAACUUCCAUGGGAUCUGAGUUAGCUGAGGAUGUACAAGGGAGUCAUGGAUAUGUGGGUGGGGAUUAAAAUUGUGGAAGUUGAUAAGAUUACCUAGAAAGAAACAGUGUAGUGAGAAGAAAGCUGUUGUAAAAACAAAAUUUAAGUAGACAAUUAAAUUAAAACAGGCCACACAUAUCCUAUGAUGAACGUGUAUCAUGAAUCAAAGAUUAUGAUUAAUCUAGUUAAAAAAAAAUCAGGGUCUAAGAAACAAAACAUAUGAAUAUAUGGGAGGGGAGAAAAAAGAGAGAGUGAAACAAACCAUAAGAUACUCUUUACCAUAGAGAACAAACUGAGGGUUGAUGGAGGGAGUGGGUGGGGGUUGGGCGAGAUGGGUGAUGAAUGACAGGUAUUAAGGAGGGUACUUGUCAUGAUGAGCACUGGGUAUUGUAUGUAAAUGAUGAAUCACUGAAUUCUAUUCCUGAAACCAAUAUUGCAUUGUAUGUUAACUAACUAGAAUUUAAAUAAAAAAUUGAAAAAAAAAUCAAGGUCUGGCAUUUGGAGAGAUCUUGACUUUUCCAGGAGGGAAAGAAAGCCAGUCGGCGUAGGGUACAGAGGGGUGUGGGUGGUGGGAGGUGAGGUGGGCUGUGGAAGGAGAUAGGGGAUAGAUCAUCCAGCAUGUCAUAGAGCAUGUUCAGGA